UGCGUGGAUUGGCUUCCUUUGAUGGGGAACAGGUGCAGCCAGGGGCCAAAAAUUGGGUUGACCGGAGUGGAGGGCAGGAACUAGUAAGCAAACAAGGAAGGAAAAGAAUAAGGAACGGAACUUAGCAACCAAACCCAA
rnacentral:SRP_RNA from 16 species